CCUACGGGUGGCAGCAGUGGGGAAUAUUGGGCAAUGGGCGCAAGCCUGACCCAGCAAUGCCGCGUGAAGGAAGAAGGCUUUCGGGUUGUAAACUUCUUUGACAGGGGAAGAGCAGAAGACGGUACCCGGAAGACAGGCCACGGCGAACGACGUGCCAGCAGCCGCGGGGAUACGUAGGUGGCAGGCGGUGUACGGAUUUACUGGGUGUAAAGGGCGUGUAGCCGGGAAGGCAAGUCAGAUGUGAAAUCUGGAGGCUCAACCUCCAAAUUGCAUUUGAAACUGGUUUUCUUGAGUACUUGAGAGGCUGACGGAAUGCCGUGUGUAGCUGUGUAAUGUGUAGAUAGAAGUUGGAAUACCAGUGGUGAAGGCGGUCUUCGGGACAUCAACUGACGGUGAGGCGCGAAAGUGUGGGGAGCAAACAGGAUUAGAUACCCCAGUAGUC
rnacentral:rRNA from 1 species